rnacentral:lncRNA from 1 species
GAGUCAGUGCGGAGCCCCGUGAGGCGCGGGGAGAAGAGGCAGCGGGCGGAGGGGAGCAGCGGGUGGUCCGAGGCGGCGCAGCCCAGGGUGGGCGCCUGACCCACGUUCUCUGGCUCUUGUCGACGGCGCAAGCUAACGCAAACACACAUGGUCGGACGCAUGCACAGCACGCCUAGAAGCGGAUCAAGAAGUAAUUAUAGAACAAGCUUUCCAGCGCCUCACUCAGUCACACCUCCUUCAAGAGCUGUGAAAUGGAAAGAAAACAGUUACUCCAGCUGCGACGUCUGAAGGGGCCCCGCACUUCGUCCCUGGUCAUAAGACACCGCAAGAGUUUAGUUAAGUGGCUUGAUACCAAGGAAGAGGUGGGCCCUGCACUCCUAAAAUCCCAAGCUCCGGCCCCUUACAGUCUCAUCUGAGAAACACAUCUUCAACGGCAGGCCAAAUUCCUCCUGCGAGCAACAUUCUGUAGCUGCAGCUGAUGGCAAGAUGUCACCAGCGGCUGAUGGCAAAAUGUCACCAGAGUCGCGGGUUAACCACCCCAUCCGCUAUCCAAGGCCCUCUCCCCGCUACCCUUUCAACCUUGUCCCAGAGGCUUUUAUGUUGGGGUAUGGCAACAAACUCUGUGGCUUUGUGUACCCACCCACAUUAAAGGCUAAAAUGUGAAAUAAACCAGUGCCCUUAUCCGCACAUGUCAGUCAUCUAAUUUGACCCCCUCUUCCAGCCAGAACUUAAUUGACCAGGUAUUUGACAGAAUUUUAUGAUCCUCAGCCAGUUCAGACUCUGAGAUGAACCUCUUGUCUACAGAGGUUUAGGUGUUUGCAGGAAUGCAAGGAGAAAUAGAAAGGUAAUCUCAAGGUAGCAAGUUUUCUAGGAUGGGCCACGUAAUUAGAAAGACACACAACCUUACAAUAAACAUAAUAAAAGGCUGACUUCUAGGGAGAUCACUAGAACGAAACAGCCAUUUGAGUCAGAAAGAAAAAGCAUUUCCAAUAUGCACCAUGUCUUUCUGCAUGGUUUAAAUCAGACUUGAAUGUCACUUCUAUAAAAUCAAACUUUGCAAGACUGUAAUUACAGGUAACCAUGUACUUUUAAAAUCUUUCCCCUCCAAAAAGCCUGCUAUUCUAUCAUGCUUACAUGGUAAAAUAAUGAUGUAGGCUAAAGUACUAGUUUAACAUACACACACACACACACACACACACACACACACAGAGACAUGACAAAAGCUGUCAAGGGGAAUUUUGCUUUGAAUCAUUUAGUUUCUUGGGCUUGAUUUUCAUUACCAUAAGCCCAUACAAAACCCGUGAUUUUUCUGUCUGCAACGCAAAGGCUUGAUUUGGUGUUCUUAUUUUAGAUCUAAAUGAUCUGGCUAUGCUUUAAAGAACACAGAAAAGAGAGAAGCAAGAGAAAGAUGUAAAAAAGAAAAGAGAGCUAUUCAAAUUCCAAAUACCUAGCAUAUAGCCCAUCUCCACUCCACCUACCUCUCCUUCUGGGACAUUCAUAGAGUUAAAAAGAGGAAGGAGGCAAGGCAGGAGAAGUGACGAUACAUAAUGAGCGCUUGUUUCAUUCUAGGUUGUACACAGGGGUUUUGCAUUUAAAAAUCUCAUUUUACCUUCAUAACAGUCCUAUGAGGUAGGUAUUACCAUUACUUCUAGUUGCCGUUAUCUAUUGCUGCUUAGUAAACCACCCCAAACUUUAGUGGCUCGCAGUUCUGUGUGUUGACUAGGCUUAGCUGGGGAGUGCUUACCUAGGGUCUCUCAUGUUGUUGCAGUCAGAUGGCAGCUGGGGCUGCUAUCAUCUGAAGGCUCAACUAGGCUGGACAUCCAAGAUGGUAUCUUCGUUCAUAUGUCUGUGUGUCAGCUGGAAUGGGCAGAACAGCUGGGACUAGCUCAGGCUCUCUCACAACAUGGUGACGGGCUUCCCUUUGAGUGAGCAUUCUAAGAAACCAAGUAGAAGCUGCUAGUCUCUUAAGACCUACACUUGGAAAUUGGCACCGCAUCACUUCUGCUCUGUUCUAUUGGUCAAGUGUCACAGAGCCCACCCAGAUUAAAGAUCAAGGGGCAGGAACAUCGAUCCUAUCUUUAAGUGGGAAUGGUGUCAAAGAAUGUGUGGCCAUCUGUAAUUCACUACGCUUCCAUUUUACAAGUGAGAAAGCAAAGUCUCGGGUUAAAAAACUCUUCCAAAGUUACAUAUCCUGCAAGGGACAGAGC